UGAGGAAUCUUGCGCAAUGGGGGAAACCCUGACGCAGCAACGCGGCGUGAGUGAGGAAGGUCUUCGGAUCGUAAAGCUCUGUCAGUUGGAAAGAAAUGUCUGAGAGUCAAUCCCUUUCAGGCUUGACGGUACCAACAGAGGAAGCACCGGCUAACUCCGUGCCAGCAGCCGCGGUAAUACGGGGGGUGCAAGCGUUGUUCGGAAUUAUUGGGCGUAAAGAGCGUGUAGGCGGCCGGAGAUGUCAGAUGUGAAAGCCCUGGGCUCAACCCAGGAAGUGCAUCGGAAACUGUGCGGCUCGAGUAGGGGAGAGGGAAGUGGAAUUCCUGGUGUAGAGGUGAAAUUCGUAGAUAUCAGGAGGAACACCGGUGGCGAAGGCGACUUCCUGGCCCUAUACUGACGCUGAGACGCGAGAGCGUGGG
rnacentral:rRNA from 1 species